rnacentral:SRP_RNA from 1 species
GCCGGGUGUGGUGGUGUGCACCUGUAAUCCCAGCUACUUGGGAGGCUGAGGCAGAGGAAUUGCUUGAAACAGGGAGGUGGAGGUUGCAGUGAGCCAAGAGCAUACCACUGCACUCCAGCCUGGGUGACAGAGCAAGACUCUGUCUCAA